rnacentral:ncRNA from 19 species
CCAGCGGGCCGUGACUGGCGCGCUGGGAUGGACCAACCAUCGGGGAGCGGCCCCUGGGCGGGUGAGACCGCGUCCAGACCGAGUGCCGUGCGCCUGGGCCGUACCG